GAGAGAUUAGCGCAACUGGAUAGAGCGUCGGCCUCCGGAGCCGAAGGCUGCGGGUUCAAAUCCCGCAUCUCUCA
rnacentral:tRNA from 1 species